UACGUAGGGUGCGAGCGUUAAUCGGAAUUACUGGGCGUAAAGCGUGCGUAGGCGGUUCGUUAAGUUCGUUGUGAAAGCCCCGGGCUCAACCUGGGAAUGGCAAUGGAAACUGGCGGGCUGGAGUAUGGCAGAGGGGGGUGGAAUUCCGCGUGUAGCAGUGAAAUGCGUAGAGAUGCGGAGGAACGCCGAUGGCGAAGGCAGCCCCCUGGGCUGACACUGACGCUCAGGCACGAAAGCGUGGGGAGCAAACAGG
rnacentral:rRNA from 1 species